rnacentral:pre_miRNA from 1 species
UCACUUUUGUGAUUUCGCAGCUGUGAUGAUCUGUGUCAGUUGCAUAGUCACAAAAGUGUUC